UUUAGUGCGUGGGUAGUUGUAAAUUUUUCUUAAGAUAAUCGCUGCAAUACUACACAUCAGAUAUGAAAGAAGACACUCGUGGCAAAAGCAAAAUUCUGUGGGAAAAGUAAAGCAAGUGGAUAAAUGUUCUCAGAAGAUCAAAAUAAUUCAUCUCACUACAUGGUGGAUCAUGGUUCCAUACUCCCAAGGUGAAGUAGAAAACUGUAUGAGUCACUCCAUGGUUAGUUGAUGAAAACAAUUUCCAAUCCUCCAUGCCUAGAAAUCGUCAUCACUGGAAAGGAGCGUGACGUAGUCAAAAUCUGUGGAUCCUCAAGUCGUAGAGAAAACCUUUUGACACAUAGCUCUUCCUUUAACCAAGGCCACAUUGCUUUAGACUAAUCAAUUUUCAAAAGUGAUGAGGAGAAGUUGACACCAACCAAAAUUUCAGGCUAGGCACAUAAGUUAUAACAAAGAGUUGGGAAUUCGCCAAAAUAAAAAUUUAAAUAUUCAUAUGGUAAUGUCAUGGUAAUGGCAUGGUGAUAUGGUAAUUAUGCUAAUUAUAGCCAGUAAUAAACUAAUUAUACUGGCGAGCAAUCUUUUAUUGUGCUUGCGAUCAUGUAAUUAUUUUAUAUGAAGUGCAAACAUUGAGCCAAAUGCGUCAAUAUUUCAAAUCGCACGAAAUAAGUUGAUGAAAUUUUUUAACAAGAAACUUGAUGAAAUUUUUGCUCAGGCUUCGUCAUGUAAGCAAAACGCUGUGUGCCUGUGUCUUGGAUUUGCGUACCAAAAACUGGCGCUUUCUUAUAAAAAGUAGAUAAAAAAAUAAAUCCAUGGAAUAAAUAA